GAAACAUAAAUGUAGUUUCUAAUAUUUAUUGUAUCUGACGCUAUUUAUUUGACGUCUGUUUGGCGUCUUCAGCCACGUGAUAAUUUGCGGCGUUCAUUGACGUCAACGUCAUACUUGUUUAUACUUCCGCCCAGACUUUGAAACGUUAACUGAACUGAACGUUAACUGUGGACAUUAAUUAUUCUGAUGAGACUUGAUGAGUAAGAGACCAAAUUCGAGAAUCGCUAUAACUAGAGAAAUAAAAGAGUAAAGGCGCAUCUCUCGUUUAGUCACUGAGUUGAUCCAAGUCCCAGAACAAUUCUCGAAUAGUCGAAUAAUCGAAUGCUCGAAUCCAGCGGUUGAUGUAGAUCCACUGAAGAAACAGUGACGAUACCAUUGGAUACAAGAUGACAGACUCUGAAAAUAAAACCUUUCAAGGACUUAAGCGGUCAAGGUCAGCACAAUGUGCGCAACUGACGAAACUGUAUAAGGAGUUGGAGCAAUACAUGAUUUCUCAUGAUAAUGAUGAUCUUGUUGAAAACUUGUAUGUGAAACUGUGCGAUAAAUUCAACGCUUUCAAGAACAUACAUUUAGAGUGCCUAGACUUAUGUGACGAACCCGCCGAUUGUGAAAAUCUAGAACAAUCCUAUGAGUGUUAUCAUAAUAAUUUCACAGAGUUUCAGGAGAGAUAUGAACAAUGGAAGUCAUCGAACCAGUAUAAUGAAAAUGACGAAAUUUGUAGCAAUGCGUCAUCAACGUGUAAAACGAAACUUGCGAGUUCCAAAGCUAAACGUUUGAUUGCUGAGCAAAAGUUAAAUUCUCUUAGAAAAAAACACGAGCUUGAACUGGCGCGCAAAGAAAUAGAAAUUAAACAACAAGAACUUGAAUAUCAGUGUGAAUUAGAGCAAGCGCGUAUUGAAGAAUCGGUCUGGCACGAGGCAUUGGAGGAAGAAACUGGUGAGCACGUGCAAGAUUCGUCAUAUGUGAAGCAGACGACAGUAAAUGAUUUCACUUCCGGUCAUGAACAGUCUGAUAAGAACAUAAGAAGUGCACACGACGACUGUGUAAUUAUAAAUACACCUAACAACACUCAUUUGGUAACGGAGCAACGUAAGAAUGGAUCAAUGAAUCAGAAUGCACAUCCAUCUGAGAAUGUAGUCACGAGCGUUUUGAGAAAUACAGACACUAAUGUUUUGAGAAAUACAGACACUAGCAUAGAAUCAGCUUUUCAGUUGCUGGCAAAUACGUUACAAGAAGGAUUCAACUUACCAAAGCCGGAGCUCCUGAGAUUCAGCGGUUCAACAUUGGAAUACUGCAAAUUUGUGAAUAACUUUGAAACAAACAUUGACUGUAAAGUUCGUGACGACAGGUUACGACUUAGUUACUUGAUACAAUACUGUGACGGAGAGGCAAAGAGUGCAAUAGAAGACUGUGUACUACUGAGUCCAAGUGAAGGUUAUAAACGAGCAAGAGACAUUUUGUACUCACGGUACGGUAGGCCACAUAACAUUGCUAGAACUUAUGUAGAUAAAAUUGUUAAUGGUCAUUCCUUAAAGGCGUCUGACACUAAUGGUCUUUCAGAUUUAGCACUUGAGAUGAGAAAAUGUGAAAUUACUUUGUCUCAGUUAGGAUUUAAGUCAGAUAUAGAUAACACAGACAACUUACGUCGCAUUGUUAGACGUUUGCCUAUGCACGUCCGCGGUAAAUGGGUAGAUAUUGCACACUCAAUUACUGAGUCUGGUAGGGAACCGGGCUUUUCAGAUCUAGUGAAAUUUGUAGAAGAAAAGGCUCGAAUCGCCACUUCCCUAUAUGGCCUUGACCUUGCAAAUGAGAAGAGUCAUGGUAAGAUUGUUGAAGAUCGAACCUUUAAGUCAAAGCCAAGUCCUGCACCUCGUAGAAAUAAUGCUGUCAGUUUUGCUACGAAUAGUGCAGUAAACAAUUCUAUGUAUAAGCCGUCACGUAAGUGCUAUUGUUGUUCAGGUAGUUGUAAAGAUUUAGCUUCAUGUACGAAAUUUACAGCCAUGAAUUUAAAUGACAGGGAACAGUUUGUAAAAAAGAACAGACUUUGUUUCAAUUGUUUAAAGGGCAAACAUUUUUCUAACGUUUGUAGAAAACCUACUGGGUGCAAUGUAACAGAAUGUAAAUCUAGACACCACUUUCUUUUACAUAGUUGGGUAGAUAGUAAAUCUGAUCACACAAAUCAACAAUCCGUCGUAAAUUGCGCAACUAAAAGCGGAUCUUGUGUGAAGAACUGUUUAGGUAUAAUACCUGUACUUGUUAGAGGUAAAAGUGGGACAUACUGCAAGACUUAUGCUUUGCUUGACGAGGGAGCUGACCAGACAUUAUGUGAUGAACGCUUGUUGAAAAUGCUGAACCUAACCUCUAAUCCUGUGACGUUCAAGAUGUCUACAGCAAGCUCUUCCGGUAUUAUCGUCGAAGGACAGGAAGUUGAGCUGCACGUGCAACCGGCGUCAGGUGGUAACGACGUUACGUUGAAAAAAGUUUGGUCAGUAAAAUCUCUUCCAGUAUCAACUAGAUCUGCUGCGAGAAACGCUGACAUCAGAGAUCUACCAUAUUUAUAUAAGAUAGAAAUCCCUGAAAUCGACUCUAGCUCUGUGAUGCUUCUUAUUGGAACAGAUGCACCACAGGCACAUAUACCCUUAGAAGUGCGUUCAGGCCGCCAUGAUCAACCCUACGCCAUUAAAACUCAACUAGGCUGGGCAGUGCGUGGACCUGUUACAGACACUACAACACAGAAAUCACCUAAUGUAAAUUUUCAGCAGUCAGCUGAUGUAUUGUUACAACAACAACUUGAGAAAAUGUGGACUACGGACUUUGAUGACAAAGUGAAAGUAGAAAGAAAUUCAAUGUCUCUAGAAGACAAGAAAGCUUUAAACACUAUGAACUCUUCGUUGAGAUAUGAAAAUGGACAUUACAAACUGAAAUUACCAUGGCGUGACGAGAAAGCAGUAAUGCCUAACAACUUGACUCUUGCGCAUGCGCGACUCGAACAUUUGAAGAGGAAGUUAGCACGAGAUCAAGAGCUGCAUAAAAUGUACACAGCAUCAGUAACUGACUAUAUCCAGAAAGGACAUGCACAGGAAGUAACACACAUUGAAUCUGAUAGUAACCGCGUGUGGUACUUACCCCAUCGUCCUGUGACGAAUCCUAAUAAGCCCGGAAAAGUGAGAGUUGUAUUUGACUGUGCCGCCAAAUACAAAGGAAUUUCCCUAAAUAGUCAACUUCUACAAGGACCCGACUUUAUGAACAGCUUGGUUGGCGUUUUAAUCAGAUUUCGUCAAGAGCCCGUUGCUAUAGCAGCCGACAUCGAGGCUAUGUUUCAUCAGGUCCGUGUCGAAGAUUUAGAUUGUGAUGCCCUACGGUUUCUAUGGUGGCCUGAAGGGGACAUGACUCAACAACCUAGAUGCUAUAAGAUGCUGGUUCACCUAUUUGGCGCGACCUCAUCCCCAAGUUGCACAGCAUAUGCAUUAAUACGAACAGCGACGGAUAACGCACAUAUGUAUAAACCAGAGGUAAUCAACACCGUUAAAAGGAACUUUUACGUUGACGACUGCUUAAAAUCAGUUUCUUCUGAUGAGAAAGCAAUCGAGUUAGCCGCAGACUUACAGUCAUUGUUAAGGAGAGGAGGAUUUCGUCUGACGAAAUGGCUCAGCAAUAAGAGAGAUGUCGUUGAAUCUAUCCCAGAGUCAGAACGAGCGCCAUCUAUAAUGAAUCUUAGCAAGAGCGACAGUUUGCCAGUAGAUCGUGCCCUCGGUGUUCAGUGGAAUGUAGAGAAAGAUGAACUCAAAUUUAAAGUGAAAGUAAGUGAAAAGCCAAUAACAAGACGUGGCAUCCUUUCCAUCGUCAGUUCCAUAUUCGAUCCCCUUGGACUGGUAGCACCAGUAACUCUACGUGCAAAAGCUAUAGUACAAAACCUAUGUAGACAGAAGCUUUCAUGGGACGAUCCUAUCCCUGAAAAAGAUACGUACGAGUGGAAACAAUGGUUAGAUACUCUUCCAUAUUUAGAAUCUGUCUCUGUGAGAAGAUGUUUUAAACCACAGGACUUUGGAACCUUAAAGAAUGUCCAGCUACAUGUAUUCUGCGACAGUUCUCAACUUGGUUACGGCGCAUGCGUGUACUUGAGAUUAAAAGAUGAAAAGAACCUGAUUUCAUGCUCUCUGGUUGCUGGAAAAUCACGACUAGCGCCAAUAAAACAGACAUCUAUUCCAAGACUUGAACUUUCAGGAGCAGUUGUCGCUUCCCGGCUUUAUACGCUAGUAGCAGACGAACUAGAAAUAGACAUUGACAGUGUGACAUUCUGGACAGAUUCUAUGAUUAUCCUUGGAUAUAUUAAAAACGAAACCCGGAGAUUCAAAACCUUUGUUGGAAAUAGGGUAAGUGAAAUUCAUGAUGUGACGUCACGAGACCAAUGGAGACACGUAGAUACGGCUUCCAAUCCAGCAGACGUCGCUUCUAGAGGAAUGCAUGCCAGUGAUUUUAAGACAAUGAAAUUUUGGAUGCAUGGACCUGAAUUCCUUCAGAAAGAUGAAAGCCAUUGGCCAAGCCACCUAACUAAACCUGAAUUAGACGACGACGACACUGAGCUGAAAAAAGAGGUUGUCGUCAACACAACUAGUGCAGUUGAAACCAUUCAAAGUAUAAUAGAUAGAUACUCCAGUUGGACGAAGCUGAGAAGGGCCGUUGCUUGGUUACUAAGAUAUAAGGCAUACUGCAGACGUAAACACUUAAACCACACCUUGGGACUGAGUGAAGGUGACUUAAGCACCAAUGAACUCAACAUGGCGGAACAUACCAUAUUAGCGUUGGUUCAACGUACGUCGUUUACCGAUGAGAGAAUAUGUCUACAAAAUGGGAAUUCUGUAAGAAAAGACAGUUGUUUAGCAUCUUUGAACCCGAUUAUACACCAUGAUCUGAUCAGAGUACAAGGACGCUUACAAUGCGAAUAUCCAAGUAAAUAUCCAGUCGUACUACCUAGCAAACACCAUGUAACAAAACUAAUAAUAAAACAUAUCCACGAACAUAAUGGUCACGUUGGAAAAGAGCAUGUACUUUCUAUGUCACGUGAGAAAUAUUGGAUUCUACACGGACCUAGCGCAGUGAAGAGUAUUUUGAGAGGUUGCAUCCCAUGCAGACGACAACAUACACCGUUAAUGACCCAACAGAUGGCGCCCUUGCUUGACGAGCAGACGACACCGGAUAUGCCACCAUUUUCCCAUAUUGGAAUCGAUUAUUUCGGACCAUUUAUUGUGAAGACAGCUCGUGCACGAGAAAAGCGUUAUGGUUGUAUUUUCACGUGCCUAACGUCGCGUGCGGUACAUUUUGAAAUUGCUCACAGUCUAUCUACUGAUUCCUUCAUAUCUGCCUUUCAACGCUUUCAAAGUCGACGUGGACGCCCACGGAAAGUCUUCAGUGAUAAUGGAACCAAUCUUGUUGGAGGUGAAACUGAACUACGAAAAUCAUUGCAGCUAUGGAACCAGUCCAAACUCAGUGGAUUUUUUGCUCAGAACGACAUUGAAUGGCAUUUCAACCCUCCGAACGCAAGCCAUAUGGGAGGAGCAUGGGAACGUUUAAUUCGUUCUACUAGAGUUAUAUUGAAAUCUCUCGUCCGAGAACAACUACUUAACGACGAGCAGCUGCUUACAUUAAUGGCUGAAACAGAGAAAAUACUAAAUGACAGACCUUUGACACCCGUUAGCAGUGAUCCCAGAGACCCACCAGCAUUAACGCCGAGUAUGCUACUGCUAAUGAAAUCAAACCAGUGCUUACCUGUUGGUAUCUUUAAGAAGCAAGAUAUAUACGCAAAACGGUGGUGGAGACAAGUGCAGUAUCUCGCAGAUGUAUUUUGGAAACGAUGGUUGAGAGAAUACUUACCACUACUUCAGAAACGUCAGAAAUGGCAACGUAAAACUGUAAACCUGAAGAAAGAUGAUGUAGUUCUUGUUGCCGUUGACAACGUUCCCAGAAGACAGUGGCCACUAGCCCGAGUGGUUGACGUGAAUCUUGGUAGAGAUGGCCUAGUUAGAAGCUGUGUGAUCAGAACUAAAUCAGGUCAAUUGAUUAGGCCAGUUACUAAACUGUGUCUUCUUGAGGCUUCAAUGUAAAUUUGAUCCUAACUUUUUUCGAAGCUAAAUAAUAAUUAUAACAAACAAGUAAGAGCCAAGUUUUGUUGUACAAAUUGUUAUAAAUGCGCUACUUAGGAAUUGUCUUUAUGAAGCGUAGAUAAUUGUUUUUGGUUAGAUUUCGCGCACCUUGCAUAGAUUAACUAAUUACGUGAAAUAUGUCAUCAACUUAAGAAUUAUUGAUUAUUGAUAAAGCAUGGAAGUGUAAUUUUUUGAAAAGUUUAUUUGUUAUGAAAUGUAUGUAAUUUCAUAGUGGGGACUGUUAGAAACAUAAAUGUAGUUUCUAAUAUUUAUUGUAUCUGACGCUAUUUAUUUGACGUCUGUUUGGCGUCUUCAGCCACGUGAUAAUUUGCGGCGUUCAUUGACGUCAACGUCAUACUUGUUUAUACUUCCGCCCAGACUUUGAAACGUUAACUGAACUGAACGUUAACUGUGGACAUUAAUUAUUCUGAUGAGACUUGAUGAGUAAGAGACCAAAUUCGAGAAUCGCUAUAACUAGAGAAAUAAAAGAGUAAAGGCGCAUCUCUCGUUUAGUCACUGAGUUGAUCCAAGUCCCAGAACAGAGGCUAUUUCUAAUAAAUAUGCAUG
rnacentral:misc_RNA from 1 species